UCUCUGUUGCUGACAGGUGGUCCAUCUUUCCCUCCUGCCCCCGCAGCCGCCCAACCGCGCUCCACGCACACCACCUGCUCCCGCUCAGAUCCCCCCUGACCCCUCACGCCCCCGCUUCCUCUCCUCUCCUCCUGCACGCCGCUCGCUCCCCGUGCGCCGUCGCCCGCAGUUUGCUCCAGCCUCCUCAAGCCACCCGCCUCUUGCGCCGAUCAUGUGCGUGCAGCGUUCCUCCCCUCAUCUACGUCUCUCGCAUCGCACCACCACCGCCACCACGCCGUCCUUCCCCAUCAGAACCAGCGUUCCUCCUCCUCCUGUUGCCCUCCUUGCUGCACCGGCCCUCCUCGAUCGUCCCUCUCCCCGUCGGCCGCCGGAUCCGAGCGGCCAUGCCGGUCACCGAUCUACUAGGUGGGCCUUGCCCCAAGUUUCUCACGUCCGCUUCGCCGCGUCGACCCCGAUCCCCCUAAUCACGCUAUUCCUUCGCCUCUCGAUCUCGACGAGCCAGCCAUUGACGUGCUUCAGCUGCGGGAGCAUCUGGGCGGCGCCAGCUCGCCCCUUUCCUCCACGCCUCCUCCCCUCUACCAUCCAGGCAACGCGGACAUCGUCGUCGGUGCCGCUGCGGCCGCUGCAGUACCCAGGCCCGUCCUCGGCUUCUCCUUCGCAGGGGACAUCCACCACUUUGGCGACGGGGACGACCUCGUAGCCGUGGGCCCGUGGCUACAGCCGCCGCCGGAUUCGCGGACUCGUCGAUGACGACCACGGCCAGCGGCGAGGAGACCAUGGCUAGGACCGGCUUGAGGUUGUAGAGGCCGAAGGCAGAGAAAUCGGAGGUGAGCACGGCGCUCACCCACGACGUAGCUCGGCCGCGACGACGACGGCCUCCUCGUCAGUGCCGGAGGCCGCCGUUCCGGCGUUGCUGGCCGUCGAGCGGUCCGGCGAGGCCGCAUAGGCGGCAGGCUUGUGGAGCGUGUCGGUGAUCACCGUGGUGGGGGAAAGCGCGGCGUGGAGGGCGACGAACUACUCGACGGCUGGCUGCGGGUUCUGCUCCUCUGCCGUGGAGCUCACCUCAGCGUACGAGCUGCUCCUGCUAACACAAUACAGGCAAGGCUAAUUAUGCUAAUGGCGACACAUGUGAUGUGAAAAAUAUUCUGUCCCCGUUGCAAUGCACGGACACAUAAAUUUUCAUUGGCUUCUCCACUUUGUCUUUGGUCGAUGGCCUCUCCAUGGUCGCCUAUUGGAUCUGCCUGCUCGGCGAGUGGAUGAGGGUCUUUGGGGCACCAGCGCUGUUGUCCAAUCCUCGUGGCGAUGAUUGCGUUUGUUCCCUCGACAAGCUCCUAAAGCACGAUGAGAAGGUCGCACAUGCAUGACCUUUUGUUUUAGAGGACUUUUACAGUACACCUAAAUGAGUGCAUACCGUCUAUUUUCUUCAUCUGGUGGCUUAGAUUAGUCCAAUAAUACUCUAUCGCCCAUCAGUAUCAUGGGUAUCAUUAAAGAGUAUCAUGGGUAUCAUAAGGGCAGGAUUGGGAAAAAAACUAUGAUAAACUUGUAAAUUAUAUGUUUAAUUAGGAAAGAUCAAAAUGUUAGUUUAUUCUUCGGAUAAGCUUUCACUUAUUCUGUUCAUUUCAUUUAUUAGGGUUUCCACCCUCCGUCGGUCAGUCAAUGACGUAAUUACCCCUAAGGGUAUCAAGAUAAUUACAAUAAUACCUACUAAAAUGGACGGUUGGAUCACAACAAUGAUACUCUCCAUCAUCUAAUAUCAUGGUGUACUGUAAAGGUUCUCUUGUUUUAUUGAUGACUCAUGACCUUUGGUUUUAUCCUUGCAAAUGAUCCGGAAUGAGGGGGAAGGGGGAGAAUCAGGAUUAGUAUUAGAUGAAGUGUUACUUAGAUUCUCCACGUGACAUAUGAUCUAGAUAUGCAUGCCAACAUGCCAUGAUCAUCGAAUUCACAAUUGCAAAUUGUAGUGCGAUGAAUUAUAUUAUGUAUAUCUUUGAAUUGACCCUGAGAAGCAAGGGAAUAAGUUCUGUAGAAUCGCCCCAACUGGAACCAUAAAUUUCCCCGGUAGCUUGGCAAUUAUCUAUUCAUUUUGUGUUUAUUUUUACUGCCAAGACAAAUUUGUUUGACAUGGAGUAGCCUCUGUUCCCAUCAGGUUAAUGCAAUCGGGGUAGUGCAAAGGUAGCGUGUUGCCAUCCUUGAGACCAAGCUAGAAGUUAACUUUGCGAGGGUUGCCAUCAGGUUAAGCUAGAAGUUAACUCUUCUACAUCUAAAUUUGUAACUGUCGCUAGGAAAAUUAUACAGGACAACGGUCACAUGAUAUAUGCUAGUCGACUUCUUCUCUUGUCUCCGGACGCGCCGAUAGUAAACAGAGGAUGUGGUAAUGACAGUAAACAAAAAGUUUCAGAUCGAGGAGGACCCAAAGAUGAUCUUGAUUUGGGUAGCGGCUCGAUCUCAUGUUCGGCGACAUGGAGCCAACAAUCUGCCGCUGUCGAGGAGCUGAUUCCAAGCGGAGGAGCUCAAUCCCAAUGGCAAGGAGCUGAUUCCAAGCGGAGGAGCUCAGAUCUGACGAGAAGAAAUCCCCAUCUAAUAUGUGGGGAUGGAUAGGAGGGAGGGAGAGGAACGAGAGGAGAGCAUCUGUGGAGGGAUCUGCGAGAGCAAGCGAGCAGGCAGAUGCGCUAGAUUCUAAUGUAAAGUGUGGUGCAGUGGGACCAUAUGGGCUGGUGACUCUGCGUGAUUAACGCCCGUAUGGGCGUAAAUUAGUUUUUACCUAAUUUAUUAGCAUACAUAUCUUUUCUUCCGUUGGAUAUUUGAACUGGCCUCCUUAUGUUUCUCCCAUUGGAUAUUCGGAUGUGACUUAACCUGGUACUGUAUUCAUGGAAACUCAUGCUUCAUGCCAUCAAUGAAAAUUUAUAUGCACGUGCUACAA